rnacentral:rRNA from 1 species
AUUGAACGCUAGCGGGGUGCCUUACACAUGCAAGUCGAACGGAGUGGCGAACGGGGGAGUAAUGAAUCGGAACGUGCCCAGUAGCGGGGGAUACAUAAGCGAAAGCGUAGCUUAUAACGCAUACUAUUGGAGCGGCCGAUAGCGGAUUAGCUAGUUGGUGGGGUAACGGCUCACCAAGGCGACGAUGCGUAGCUGGUUUGAGAGGACGAUCAGCCACACUGGGACUGAGACACGGCCCAGACUCCUACGGGAGGCAGCAGUGGGGAAUUUUGGGCAAUGGGGGAAACCCUGAUCGAGCCAUGCCGCGUGUGCGAUGAAGGCUUUCGGGUUGUAAAGCACUUUUGGCAGGAAAGCGGUAUCUGAACAAUAAGCAACGGCUAACUACGUGCCAGCCGCCGCGGUAAUAC